CAUGCUGAAUAUACCGGUUCUCGUUAGAUCACUGAAAUCAAGCAUCAUUGGGCGCGGUCAGUACUUGGGUGGGUGACCACCUGAGAACACCGCGUGCCGUU
rnacentral:rRNA from 1 species